UUUUUCAUUCAUGUUUGCAACCGUUUUAGCUUGAAGUUUUCGUAACUAAUAUGUAAUGACAACAAAGCCAUCGGCAAAGACGGCCUGCCGGGCGAGCUCUACAAACAUGGUAAAGUAACGCUUGCUAGAGCACUACACUAGGUCAUUUUCAAGACCUGGGAAGAGGAAAAACUGCCGGUAGAGUGGAUGGAGGGAGUCGUCUGCCCCAUCUAUAAAAAGGGCGACAAGCUGGAGUGCUGCAAUUAUCGUGGCCAGUGGUUAAAAUUAACAAUUGAGUUUCAUAACAAUGAAACUCUGCAACUUCUGCGCGUAGUUGAUACAUGUUGCCAUGACCAUCCGUUUCACUGCCUGAUAUACGAUAUAAACAAAAUUGUUCAUCGUUACUCGGCGUCUCAAAGUGAACAUACAAUAUGAGAGAUAAUGAAACGGAAGAUUUUCGGAUCGGUUCAUUUAUCAAUUCAAACGUAGCAACCGAGGAAGUGAAACUCAAAGAUAAAAAAAUCAAUUUCGCUUGGCGGUGCUGACUUUUUUCAAAAUGUUUUUAAAAAUAUUUAUUUCGUUUCUAAACAAACCUAAAAUGAGUAUCGAUAGUGGAAGCUUUUCUUGUGAUAAUGAUGACAUCAGAACAAGAAAGCGUAGUGCAGGAAAGCGUACGAUACAGGACAUUGCGUUACCGUUCAUUGCACGUGAUGGAAAUGCUGGACGAUGUCAAAUUGAUGUCGAAAGCGGAUGCAACAAUUUCCAAGCGGUUUUGGACGUCGGGAAUUUCACACGUCAUUUCCGUACUAAGCAUCCAUUCGAAGCGUUUAAACGCGUCUUACUCAAGGAAGCCUGAAUAUUUUAGAAUACCAAUGGUGUUCAAUAAAUUGAGUUUCAUUUAAACUUGUA